rnacentral:lncRNA from 10 species
AUCACCUUUGACUUCCUCAAAUCCUCUUCAAGAAUCACCCAUCCCUAUUUCAAGACUGGCGGACAUCAUUCUAUUCCUUUUAUAGGGCUUUGCUGUUUCCUAAAACACUUUCAUUUUCUGGUGGCAAUAAAAGUAGUCUGGUGGUGAUACAAACUAAUGUUGUUUUCUUUAACACUUACAGCUCAUCUGUAGGAUCACUUCGAUUUGCACUCUUUUUGCAAAGGCAAAACAUCUAAAGAAGAGACAGUAUCCAUACACUUGUCUACUCAUUAUUAUCAUUCGAGACAGACAAAACGCCCACCUGGGGAGGAAAUUCCCCAUGAAAAAGACAGAGUCAUGUGAAGCUGGCUGGGUGCCCUCAAUCCAGAAGAGGAGCCCACGGCCCCAAGGAAUGGGGAAGCCACCACUACCACUUGGAAGGAGGCUGUAUCCCUGAAUGGCACUGUGGAGCAUACACAUUUCUCCCCAUUCACUGGCCAGAGUUAGACUGUAACAAAGGUGAGAAGUAAACAUUUACUGUAUCAAGGCACUGCGGUUUUGGUGGUUGUUGCAGCAGUUAACCUCACUAAGAAAGGAUAAGAAACUCAUGCAAAGUCCAUAUAUGAGUUUAUUUAAAGAAAAUUUAUUGAGCACCUAGUAUAUGUGCCAGACACUGUGCUUGGCAUUGGUUGUAUGCCAAUGAAUUAAGACAGAUCUGGGCCAUACCCCAGUGGGGCUUACCCUACGUCUAACUUAGAACUACAUCUAGUAGUUCUUCCAGUUAUGGACAGG